UACUCUCACACUCUGAUCCUUUGGAUUGCGAGUGGUGGACUUGGGUGUUGCUGCUGCGUGGUGGCUCACCUCAAAUGCGUUAGUGCAACUCCUGAUUGGACAUAGUACGGCGUGAUAAGUGUCUUCGCCGGCGCCUCGUAAGAGGGUGGCUGAUUGGGAGCUCUGUGCUUCACAAACCGUCUUCGGACAAUUCUGACA
rnacentral:misc_RNA from 1 species